rnacentral:rRNA from 1 species
CCUACGGGUGGCAGCAGUAGGGAAUAUUGCUCAAUGGGGGAAACCCUGAUGCAGCAACGCCGCGUGGAUGAUGAAGUUUUUCGGAUUGUAAACUCCUUUUGUUAGAGAAGAUAAUGACGGUAUCUAACGAAUAAGCACCGGCUAACUCCGUGCCAGCAGCCGCGGUAAUACGGAGGGUGCAAGCGUUACCCGGAAUUACUGGGCAUAAAGAGCGCGUAGGCGGUAUAGCAAGUCAGAUGUGAAAUCCUAUGGCUUAACCCUAGAACUGCAUUGGAAACUGUUAUUCUAGAGUAUGGGAGAGGUAGGGGGAAUUCCUGGUGUAGGGGGGAAAUCCGUAGAGAUCAAGAGGAAUACUCAUUGCGAAGGCGACCUGCUAGAAUAUAACUGACGCUGAUGCGCGAAAGCGUGGGGAGCAAACAGGAUUAGAUACCCCAGUAGUC